rnacentral:rRNA from 1 species
UACGUAGGGGGCAAGCGUUGUCCGGAAUCAUUGGGCGUAAAGGGCGCGUAGGUGGCUUCUUAAGCGUGCGGUGAAAGCCUGGGGCUCAACCCCGGGUCGGCCGUGCGAACUGGGGGGGCUGGAGCACUGUAGAGGCAGGCGGAAUUCCGGGUGUAGCGGUGGAAUGCGUAGAGAUCCGGAAGAACACCGGUGGCGAAGGCGGCCUGCUGGGCAGUUGCUGACACUGAGGCGCGACAGCAUGGGGAGCAAACAGG